CUAAGGUCGAUGGCGACCGGCGCACGGGUGAGUAACACGUAUCCAACCUGCCGAUGACUCGGGGAUAGCCUUUCGAAAGAAAGAUUAAUACCCGAUGGCAUAGUUCUUCCGCAUGGUGGAACUAUUAAAGAAUUUCGGUCAUCGAUGGGGAUGCGUUCCAUUAGGUUGUUGGCGGGGUAACGGCCCACCAAGCCUUCGAUGGAUAGGGGUUCUGAGAGGAAGGUCCCCCACAUUGGAACUGAGACACGGUCCAAACUCCUACGGGAGGCAGCAUG
rnacentral:rRNA from 1 species